CCAAUCCGCCGCCGCCGUCGCCCCCUCAUGCCCGUCUCUCCCAAUCUUUCCCUCUCUCGCACCCUGUCGCUUCCGCCGUCGGCCGCCGGCCAGUACGCCGUCCCUCCCCGCACUCACGCACGCGCGGCCAGUCCACCGAGGGGAGACUCCAUAUUGACAACGCGAAACCCUAGACGCCACGGAGAUGGAGCAUCUCCGCCGCCUCGCCCAGUUCUUGCUCGCCUCAGCUCGCGCGGAUGGAGCAGGACGCGCCGCCCGUCCCCUCGCACCAGGCCCAGGACGACGGCGCCGUGGACGGCUGGGCGCGUGACGGCACGGAGCCCCCCCUCCCUUAUGGCGCCCCGGCAGAGUGCCCCGAGGCCGCAGAUCCUCCUCCCCUCCUCGGCUACGUCUCCUCGGUCGCUCGUGCGCGACCCUCAACUUCUGCAGCGGUGGGAGGAGCCCUACGACGACAUGCUCCGGCGACCCUGCAUCCGCAAGAAAGCCACAUGGAUUGGGGAUAUGUACCUCGGUUUGGGUUUAAAGGGGCAAUCUUUGAGCAUUUGUAUAUCAACUAUCGAGGAUCUCAAGUUGACAUGGACCGCACUAUGAUCAAGUGCAUUCUGGUGCUAUGAUGAUUGUGACAGAAGAUUUUAGCUGCAGAAGCAAUCGCCAUGUCUCAGUUCCAAUAUUAAAAAUCAGUGCACCUGAAUUACGACACAAUUUUUGUCAUCUGGAACUGCGCUUAUAAGGUGUUUGGUCUUACGCUCCUGAAUACAAUGUGAUAUAAAAGGUUCAUGAAAUCAUCAGGUAUGGAAAUGCUUGGCCGUUUUUGUAAAUUACUUAGUACAAUAUUAUCAGUUUGUUUUUUACAUUAUUUCCCAGUUCUCUUGCAGUACUAUUCAACAACCUAUCUUCCUGCCUACUAGAUAAAAGAGGGGUUUUGUUUACUUAACAUGGUUGCCUGAUUAACAUAGUCAUGGUUUCGGUUAGUUAUUUUUUCCACUACCGAAGCAACAACUUAUCUUCCUACCUACCAGAUAUACUACUGGCUUAAGAAGCUCCACCAUUCUUUUAUAUGAUAUUAGAAAAAAUUGAGUUCUAACUUUGUUGAAAGACACGCACAGUUCUGAUGUUCUGGGGCCAAUGUUCAUUUCUAGAGGCAAAUACUCUCGGAUUUCUUAGUGAACUAUAAUCCCAUCUAGAUAACCCCCCUCGAUAUAGCUCCCUUUAUUUGUACGACACAAUCUAGCAUAUGACGGCUCUGAUUUGGAUUGUGCGUGUUUCUCCAAAAACUAGGAUUAUAGGCCUGAGAAUAAACAAAUAGCGUUAUAAACUUACCUCAAAGCCUAUGGGUUGACUGAAGCUUGAUAAAUAGUUUCAGAUGCACUAUGGUCUCAUAACAGUAGAAAUAAACUUCAAGGGAAAGAGAACCAUAAGUAUAGGUGACUGCAUAGUAGAAGAUGUGUAAUCUGUGUUGCACUAUACUGUCUUUAUAGAAGCCGACAGAAUCAGAGACAUCCUAAAUUUGGUUUUCUGUUCUUGUCAGUUAAGAAAAGAAACAUUAACUCCUGGAUUAUCAGUAAGGGAAUAUGCCUUAUUAGCAUACUCUUAUGGUCGUUAUUAUUGCUCAACGUUGUGAGGAAAAAGAAGAAUAUUCAGAUUUUUCUAUUUGUGGUUAUAUCUUUUGGAUAAACAAUAGAAGGGUAAACUGCGAAGAAGAAACAUAACGACCACCAGUAGUUAUAUCUUUAUUUUGAAUUAAACUAAAGUUGACAUGAUAGCAAUAUUUUAGAAUAUUCAGAUUUUUUCAAUAUUUAUGGUGAUUAUAUCUUUUGCACAUUAACUCUGAAACUGAACUAUUUGUGUCGGGCCAGAGAAGCGUAAUUUCAAUACAAACUGCAAUUGCUUGGGCAAGAGAAAUCAACUCAAUACUACAAUUUUCCAUAUGAUGUAGUAAGAGGGGGCGUACCAUUGUAAACCGAUGUAGGGUGAAGGCUAGCCGCAUCUUUGGCGUGUGGUCAAACCCGGCAGGCUGCAACUAUGUGGAGCAUCCACAUUACUGCCACCACAUGCUUGCUAAAACAGUUAAUAUGUUCGUCCCCGUACAUCGGCCACAUCUUCGGCGGGCAUGCUUGAUGCCAAAAUCGGGCAACUAUUGUUGUAUUGAGUAUCCAGAGAUGAUAACCGUCAUGAAAAUCACUGCAUGGAUCGAUGAUAUCCCACACGGUCUUUUUUGCAUCAAAAGCGUGACCCACUUUGGAUAAGAAUACACCAACCAUUUUGGUAAUGGGCAUCUCAACAGUUCUAUUUGGGCCUCAUUCCCCUAAUAUGCUAGUAAUUGUCUCCUUUCCUGUAUUUCUCUUAGUCUCACUCCCAAACACUUCAUGAUCUGAGAGAGGGAAUGCCAACAGCCAUGGCGGUAGUGUCCCCUCCGUCCGUUCAUGCAACUUGAGAGGCUCUAGCGAUGACGCAUGAGGGGCAUUGUCGUCACUAAGUUUGCCACCAUCCUAGUCGCGACGACAAUGCGACAGAGCAUAUAGUGGAGGGCAGAGAAAGACAGUCGAGGGAAAUGGCUUCAUUAGAAGAAUCCACAACACGCGGAUGACCAGUGUAGUAGAGAAGAGGAUGAGGGGGAAUUACUGGGGAAGCCCAAGGGGACAAGCCAAGUGAGGUAGCCUCAGGUAAUGAACAAGGCGGGGAAGUCGCAGGUGAUGACGGACUUGAUAAAGAAGCCAUUAGAGGUAGAAGAAACUUCAAUCCCUAGGAAGUAGCGAAGAGGACCAAGAUUAGACAUAAGAAAUCCACUAUGAUGAGCCUUCACAAUGGCAAAUGUACUUAGAGCCAUUGCCAGUGUUAUCGGCAUAUAGAAGAAGAGUUCGACCAUGAGUUGAGAGGUGGACAAGUGUAGGAUCAUGAGCACUCGCCGAAAACUAGCCGUAGUCACCAUCGAGACGAAACGUUCAAACCAGGCAUGAGAGGUUUGGUUAAGGCCAUAAAAAGUGACGAAGACGACAAACCAUGUCAUCAAGAAGAGAAUACCCAUGUGGUGACUACAUGUAGACCUCAUACAACUCAACACUAAGGAAGGCAUUCCUGACAUCAAGCCGAGAGACAGACCAGUGGCGAACAUAAGCCACAAUGAGAAGUGUGCAAAGGCCACGGGAGCAAAUGCUCAUUGUAGUCUUGGCCAUGUUCCCGAGGAAAGCCUUGCGCCACUAGAUGAGCUUUGUAACACUCAAGAGAACCAUCAGUGUAUUAACAUUAUAGACACACUUACAAGCGAUUGGACGAGCACGGGGAGGAAGAGAAAUGACGUCCCACGUGUCGAUGUGCACAAGAGCAAGAAUCUCCUCUACAAUCGCAUGCCGCCAUUCGGGAUGAACAAAUGCGUCAUGAUAAGAAGUUGUCUUGAGAAAAGCGGCGCCAGAAUAACCAUAGUGGUCAAUAGGCGGAAGCGAGAGCUCAAAAGCCAUAAGUAGGCUGAGCUGGAGGCGAUGCAUUGCCAACAGGAGAGGGCAUUGUAGUAGAGGGAGAUGGCUUGUCAGAAGGAUCCAUGACACGCGGACCACAAGUGUAGUGAAGAAGAUGAUGAAGGGGAAUCAUCGGGGAAGCCUCGUGGACGAGCCAGGUGAGGUAGCCUCAAGUAAUGAACGAGGUGGGGAAGCCGCAUGUGACGAUGUGUGGGGUCUAUAACAGUAGUACGGGAGGACACGCUGGGAUAGGUGGGCGAGGGCAAUAAAUGAGUGAUAAGUGUAUCGGGAAAAUUGAGGGAAGCAUCCUCAACUGGGGGGGGGGGCGAAGCAGAGGAUUGACGUGCAUAAAAAGGAUGACACUCAAUGAGAAGUCACAUCUCGAGAAAUGCGCACCCGAUGACUGACAAGAUCCCAACACUGAUAGCCCUUGUGCUCAUCACUGUAACCUAAGAAGACAUUCAACAGAUUGAUCAGACAGUUUGGUGCGUGAAGAACGUAGCAAACACAACCAAACAAAGUGUUUAGUACUCCAUCCGUCCGAAAAUACUUGUCAGAGAAAUGGAUGCAUCUAGACAUACUAUAGUUCUAGAUACAUCCAUUUUUAUCCAUUGGGGGGGGGGCGAAGCAGAGGAUGGACGUGCGUAAAAAGGACGAGAUUCAAUGAGAAGUCACAUCUCGAGAAAUGCGCAUCCGACGACUGACAAGAUCCCAACACCGAUAGCCCUUGUCCUCAUCACUAUAACCUAAGAAGGCAUUCAAUAGAUUGAUCGAACAGUUUUGGUGCAUGAAGAACGUAGCAAACGUAACCAAACAAAGUGUUUAGUAAUCCAUCCGUCCGAAAAUACAUGUCGGAGAAAUGGAUGUAUGUAGACAUAUUUCAGUUCUAGAUACAUCCAUUUUUGUCCAUUUGUGCGACAAGCAAUUCCGGACUCGGAGUUGUCAAGGGAAUGCCCACAAAGACGCUCGGAAUGUCACCAUGUAGAGCAAAGGAGGGAUGAUUAUUGAUGAGAUAGGUGGCUACGAUCAUCAACGCACUAGCCGCCUCAUGAAGUUCGCGAUGCUUGCGCUUAGCAACACCAUUCUGACCACGAGCACAAGACGAGAACUGAGCAAGUGUGCUUUUCUCAACAAGGAAUUCGUGCAGCAAAUGAGGGAUAUACACGAAAGGCAUGGAUAUGAGUGGAAAACUGAGUAUGAACCAAGGCGGCAAACUUCUUACAGAUAGACCUCACUACAAGAAGGCAUAAAAUAUAUCGACUUGUGUCGAGAGAAAUCAUUAUAAAGAUAAUAUAGUGGCGAUGGCCUCCUUUCAAGGCAAAGGCAGCUGGAUCCCAAACAUCAGAGUGAACAAGAUCGAAAGGACGCCGAGACAGAGUCUUGCUCUAAGGAUAAGGUAAUUGAACGUGUUUACCCAAAUAACAAUCUUGACUGUCUAAAGACACAUUACCAGAGACAGAUCCAUGGAGACCACGUCGAACUAAGGGUGAGAGUCAAGAACCACACAUGCGACUGCGACGAUCAUGCCAGAACGAGUGGGUAGACGAGGUAAGUGAGUCGAAGAGACUGGCGGCGGUGGUAGCGGAGGGAAGGCGAAGCUUGGCACACUCCAGAGGGUGUGUGACUCAUAGCACCGAGGGCCAACACCAAGUAGAGAACCCGUGUGCCGAUCCUAAAUCAGAACAAGAGUCGAAGUCGAGAAUGACCCUACAACCAAAUUAAAAAAUCUAUCCUCCUGAAAUGAGCUGCCUGUUAAGUAUCAUUGGCAGUAAGAACAUGUACAUGAGAAUUUAGAGGGCCAUUGCGGUGUCGACUGCCUGUGCAGCUAUGGUGGCGUGCAUCAGGUAACACGAGAUGUGGGAUUGAGGCGUCACACAUAGCAGCCCAAAGUCAGGCGAAGGAUGCCCAGUUGGACUGGUAGGGAGCAGAGAGUACAUGUGAGGUGUGGGGGAAGGUAUGAAAACAUUGUUGGGAGCGGAUUGUUGUUGCCGUCGUUUGUUGUACUUGGAGACAAGCGUCGAGGGGAUGGCGAUUGGGGAAGGCGAGAAGAUGGCACUGGGAGGAGAAAGGCAUCAUUUGCCACCGUACAUACAUAUGUGCGUCUGUCAUGACAGUGGACGGUUGUGGGCAAAUCUAGUAUCUACAUGUGGGUUUGUUACUAGGCUUGGUUGGAUCAUAGUUAUGAUUUGUGCUAGAUUCCUUCCUUUGAAGAUUGAAGCUGGAGAACUUUAGGGUGUAGUAUGAUCAACCUGAGAUAUAUCAGAUUUAUAUAGGUAUAGUAUGGUUGGCAUGAGUGUGGUAUUGGUGGACUAUUGGAUCAUCUUGGAUAUUACUACUUGGAUUCUAGGUUGGAGGUAACUUGGGCACUUGGAUUUGUGAUAUUUUGACCUAAGUUUAUGGAUAUGGGCAUGUAGAUGAUAAAUGGAUUGGAGUUGGUAGACUUUGAUGAUUUUGCUAGCCCUCCUCAUAUGUAUUGGACUUAGAUAACUAUGAUACUAGGCUUGGUUGGAUCAUAGUUAUGAUUUGUGCUGGAUUCCUUCAUUUGAAGAUUGAAGCUGGAGAACUUUAGGGUGUAGAGUUAUCAACGUGAGAUAUAUCGAAUUUAUAUAGGUAUAGUAUGAUUGAAAUGAGUGUGCUAUUGGUGGACUAUUGGAUCAUCUUGGAUAUUGUUACUUGGAUUCUAGGUUUAAGAUAAUUUGGGCACUUGGAUUUGUGAUAUUUUGACCUAAGCUUAGUAGUUUGUAUGUGCCCCAUAUGAAUAUGAGCCACGGAGAUGAUACAAAUGGAUCGGAGUUGGUAGACUUCGAUGAUUUUGCUAACCCUCCCCAAAAAUGUUAUGUACAAGAUCAUCAUGGUCGUGGAGGGAAAACUAGGCAUGACUCAACCCAAUGUAUAAGAAGAAAUAUGAUUUUGACCAUGCAAAUGGAAAUACAUGUACAUGCAGUGCCAACGGAAAAAAUGUUAAUUUAGUGGAUUCUGGUACGAAGCCACCUUGCAAGAGGUUAUUGAGUGCAGGCAACCCUGCGUUGGUGAAGGACCCUUCCUUGGCACCGGAGGAAAUGAAGUGACAGGGGUCUUAAGACUGUGAGGGAAAAAUUGGGACGAGUGACUCAGCUCAGGGUUCCUCUUUGCAAGUUCAAGUGAAAAGGCAGAGGAUGGCAGGGCGUGCUGCUCUUGAUAGCGUUUGCAUCGCUUCUUCAUACCUCUCGUGCACUCUUCGUUUCCCGCCGAUUCGACUUGGCGUCCUUACCUUGUUUGAGGGUUAUGUGUCACGGACUUGGUUCCGCAUCCCACGUUCCCUUGCUAGGAGUCCCUAGCCUUGGCGACAGGUAGCGACGUGCACUUGGGCGCUUGGCGUCCUUGGGUAAGUUCGGGGGCGGUGCCCAAGCUUGCAGCUAUGGCGACAACUUGCAUGGGAGCAGAUGAUGUAGGAACAAGGCAGCACACGAGUAACUCGCAGCCAGGGAAAUGAUACCUAGCCGGACAUGCAGGCAGUGGAGAGUACACAAGAGGUGUGGGUAGGGGUGAAAACGCUGCCGGGGAGCUGCUGCCGUUAGUUAGCCUUUAGAUCCAGAGCUGAGUGGCGAGGGUAUGAUCAACCUAAGAUAUAUCAGAUUUAUAUAUGUAUAGUAUGGUUGGCAUGAGUGCGGUAUUGGUGGACUAUUAGAUCAUCUUGGACAUUACUACUUGGAUUCUAGGUUGGAGGUAACUUGGGCACUUGGAUUUGUGAUAUUUUGACCUAAGCUUAGUAGCUUGUAUAUGCCCCAUUGGAUCAUCUUGGAUAUUACUACUUGGAUUCUAGGUUGGAGAUAACUUGGGCACUUGGAUUUGUGAUAUUUUGACCUAAGCUUAGUAGCUUGUAUGUGCCCCAUAUCUGAUAUGAGCAUGGAGAUGAUACAAAUGGAUCGGAGUUGGUAGACUUUGAUGAUUUUGCUAGCCCUCAUAUGUAUUGGACUUAGAUACUAGGCUUGGUUGGAUCAUAGUUAUGAUUUGUGCUGGAUUCCUUCAUUUGAAGAUUGAAGCUGGAGAACUUUAGGUGUAGAGUUAUCAACGUGUGAUAUAUCGGAUUUAUAUAGGUAUGGUAUGAUUGAAAUGAGUGUGGUAUUGGUGGACUAUUGGAUCAUCUUGGAUAUUUGUAGGUUAUUGAGUGCAGGCAACCCUGCGUUGGUGAAGGACCCUUCCUUGCGCCGGAGGAAAUGAAGUGACAUGGGUCUUAAGACUGUGAGGGCAAAAUUGGGACGAGUGACUCAGCUCAGGGUUCCUCUUUGCAAGUUCAAGUGAAAAGGCAGAGGAUGGCAGGGCGCGCUGCUCUUGAUAGCGUUUGCAUCGCUUCUUCAUACCUCUCGUGCACUCUUCGUUUCCCGCCGAUUCGACUUGGCGUCCUUACCUUGUUUGAGGGUUAUGUGUCACGGACUUGGUUCCGCAUCCCACGUUCCCUUGCUAGGAGUCCCUAGCCUUGGCGACAGGUAGCGACGUGCACUUGGGCGCUUGGCGUCCUUGGGUAAGUUCGGGGGCGGUGCCCAAGCUUGCAGCUAUGGUGACAACUUGCAUGGGAGCAGAUGAUGUAGGAACAAGGCAGCACACGAGUAACUCGCAGCCAGGGAAAUGAUACCUAGCCGGACAUGCAGGCAGUGGAGAGUACACGGGAGGUGUGGGUAGGGGUGAAAACGUUGCCGGGAGCUGCUGCCGUUAGUUAGCCUUUAGAUCCAGAGCCGAGUGGCGAGGGUAUGACGAUAGGGGAAGCAUGGAAGAUUCCUUCCUUUGAAGAUUGAAGCUGGAGAACUUUCGGGAGUAGUAUGAUCAACAUAAGACAUAUCGGAUUUGCAUAUGUAUAGUAUGGUCGGCAUGAGUGCGGUAUUGGUGGACUAUUAGAUCAUCUUGGACAUUACUACUUUGAUUCUAGGUUGGAGGUAACUUGGGCACUUGGAUUUGUGAUAUUUUGACCUAAGCUUAGUAGCUUGUAUAUGCCUCAUUGGAUCAUCUUGGAUAUUACUACUUGGAUUCUAGGUUGGAGGUAACUUGGGCACUUGGAUUUGUGAUAUUUUGACCUAAGCUUAGUAGCUUGUAUGUGCCCCAUAUAUGGAUAUGAGCAUGGAGAUGAUACAAAUGGAUCGGGGUUGGUAGACUUUGAUGAUUUUGCUAGCCCUCCCCAUAUGUAUUGGACUUAGAUAACUAUGAUACUAUGCUUGGUUGGAUUAUAAUUAUGAUUUUUGCUAGAUUCCUUUGAAGAUUGAAGCUGGAGAACUUUAGGAUGUAGUAUGAUCAACUUGAGAUAUAUCAGAUUUAUAUAGGCAUAUGUGAUUGGCAUGAGUGUGGUAUUGGUGGACUAUUGGAUCAUCUUGGAUAUCACUACUUGGAUUCUAGGUUGGAGGUAACCUGGGCACUUGGAUUUGUGACAUUUUUACCUAAGCUUAGUAGCUUGUAUGUGCCCCAUAUGGAUAUGAGCAUGGAGAUGAUACAAAUGGAUCAGAGUUGGUAGACUUUGAUGAUUUUGCUAGCCCUAUUGUGUAUUGGACUUAGAUAACUAUGAUACUAGGCUUGGUUGGAUCAUAGUUAUGAUUUUGUGCUAGAUUCCUUUGAAGAUUGAGGCACUACUUGGAUUCUAGGUUGGAGGUAACUUGGGCACUUGGAUUUGUGAUAUUUUUACCUAAGCUUAGUAGCGUGUAUGUGCCCCAUAUGGAUAUGAGCAUGGAGAUGAUACAAAUGGAUCGGAGUUGGUAGACUUUGAUGAUUUUGCGAGCCCUCCUCAUGUGUAUUGGACUUAGAUAACUAUGUUACUAGGCUUGGUUGGAUCAUAGUUAUGAUUUUGUGCUAGAUUCCUUUGAAGAUUGAAGCUGGAGAACUUUAGGGUGUAGUAUGAUCAACCUGAGAUAUAUCCGAUUUAUAUAUGUAUAGUAUGAUUGGCAUGGGUGCGGUAUUGGUGGACUAUUGGAUCAUCUUGGAUAUUACUACUUGAAGGUUGGAGAUAACUUGGGCACUUCGAUUUGUGAUAUUUUGACCUAAGCUUGGUAGCUUGUAUAUGCACCAUAUGGAUAUGAGCAUGGAGAUGAUACAAAUGGAUCGUAGUUGGUAGACUUUGAUGAUUUUGCUAACCCUCCCCAAGAAUGUUAUGAGUACAAGAUCAUCAUGGGAGGAUGAUUUGGAUUAAUUAGAAUAGAUGGCAAUUUCAGUGGUAUGUGCCUUUUUGGGGCAGCUGAUCUUGCUUUUAUUAUGUGUUGGAUGCAAUAGUAGUAGGAGAGUAUGACUUAUGAAGUGAUAUUAUAUUCUUGGAUAAAUAGAUAUUUAAUGAACCUUGGGUGAUUGUGAUCUUGAAAAAAAAUCUCGUGGAUGAUAACUUCUAAUUUUUGUAUUUGUAUCUAUAGUCAUCAAGUGCAAGCUUGCUUUAUAUUGGACUUGCAAACCGUGAUAGGCUUGGUUGGGUCAUGAUUAUGAUUUGUUCUAGAUUCCCACCUUUGAAGAUUGAACCUGGAGAACUUUUGGGUGUAGUAUGAUCAACCUGAGAUAUAUUGAAUUUAUAUAGGUAUAGUACAAUUAGCAUGAUUGUGGAAUUGGUGGAGCAUUGGAUCAUUUUGGAUUGAAUUACUUGUAAGGAAACAAAGUUCUUUGAGUAAUAGAAAUAGUGUUUGGUUAGAUGAUAUAACUACUUGGAUUCUAGGUUGGAGAUAAAUUGGGCACUUGGAUUUGUGGAUUUUUUUUACCUAAGAUAGUAGCUUGUAUGUGCCCCAUGUGGAUAUGAGCAUCGAGAUGAUACAAAGCGAUUGGAAUUGGCAGACUUUGAUGGUUUUGAUGGCCCUCCGUAAGAAUGUUAUGAGUACAUGAUCAUCAUGGAAGGAUGGUUUGGAUUAAUUAGAAUAGAUGGCAAUUUUGUUGGUAUGUUCCUUGUUGGAGCAGCUGAUCUCGAGAAAUGCGCAUCCGACGACUCACCAGAUCCGAACACCGACAACCCUUGUGCUCGUCACUGUAAACCUAAAAAGAACAUAUUGGUCAGACAGUUUGGUGCGUGAAGAACGUAGCAGAAGCUACCAAACAAACGAAGUGUUUAGUAGUUAGGAGAAUGCCCACAAAGACACACGAGAGGAAUAUCAUCGUGUAGAUCAGAGGAAGUAUGAAUGUUGAUGAGAUAGGUGGCUAUGAUCAUCAACGCACUAUCCGCCUCAUGAAGGUGCCGAUGCUUGCGCUCAGAGCGGCACCAUUCUGAGCCUGAGCACGAGGAUAAGAGAACUGAGCAAGUGUGAUAGCUUGCAUGUGCCCCAUAUGGAUAUGAGCAUGGAGAUGAUACAAAUGGAUCGGAGAUGGUAGACUUUGAUGAUUUUGCUAACCCUCAUAUGUACCGGACUUAGAUAACUAUGAUAGUAGGCUUGGUUGGAUCAUAGUUAUGAUUUGUGCUAGAUUCCUUCCUUUGAAGAUUGAAGCUGGAAAACUUUAGGGUGUAGUAUGAUCUACCUGAGAUAUAUCGGAUUUAUAUAGGUAUAGUAGGAUUAGCAUGACUACGGUAUUGGUGGACUAUUGGGAUCAUCUUGGAUCUUGCUACUUGGAUUCUAGGUUGGAGAUAACUUGGGCACUUGGAUUUGUGAUAUUUUGACCUAAGCUUAAUAGCUUGUAUGUGCCCCAUAUGGAUAUGAGCAUGGAGUUGGUAGACUUUGAUGAUUUUGCUAACAACCCCCCCAAGAAUGAGUGUGGUGAGAUAUAUCGGAUUUAUAUAGGUAUAGUAGGAUUAGCAUGACUACGGUAUUGGUGGACUAUUGGGAUCAUCUUGGAUCUUGCUACUUGGAUUCUAGGUUGGAGAUAACUUGGGCACUUGGAUUUGUGAUAUUUUGACCUAAGCUUAAUAGCUUGUAUGUGCCCCAUAUGGAUAUGAGCAUGGAGUUGGUAGACUUUGAUGAUUUUGCUAACAACCCCCCCAAGAAUGAGUGUGGUGAGAUGAGAUGAUACAAAUGGAUCGGAGUGUAGACUUUGAUGAUUUUGCUAACCCUCCCCAAGAAUGUUACGAGUGCAAGAUCAUCAUGGGAGGAUGAUUUGGAUUAAUUAGAAUAGAUGACAAUUUCAAUGGUAUGUGCCUUUUUGGAGCAGCUGAUCUCGCUUUAAUUAUGUAUUUGUGCUAGUUUAGAUGCAAUAGUAGUAGGAGGGUAGCAUAGGAGGUGCCUCCCCCUUGCCACCGUCAAGGCCGAAACCUGGCGAGAGGGAGACAUGCAUGAGCGGGUCGGGGCAGAAAGCACAAGGCUGCACUGUAGCAUCUUCAUCGGCACCUCGUUGGCGUCAUCCACCCAUGCCCUGACGACAAAGUACGAGAGGUCGAGCCUGUCGAAGGAUUCAAUGGCCAUAUGGUAGAUUAGGCAUUCGGGCAACAGUUCUUGGGUGGUUUGAGGCGAGAACUCCCGCAGGGGAUGCGUUGGAUGGACAGCCCAACGCUGUAGCAGCAUUGAACCGAUGUGGCGAAGGUUAUCUUGUUCGACCGCCACACUAGGAGCGGCGUGCCACGGUAGUGGACUGCGUCCACCCCACGAACCAUGUUGAACCACCGGCAGUGCGUGAAGCUGGCGAAGAAUGAUCCUAGCUACAUGAGAGAGACCUGAAAGCCGUUUGUUCGAAAGCUCCGGGAAGUCGUCCUUAUGCCCUCAACAAUUUUUACCAGGAUUAGAGACGACCUCGUACCCGCCACCAUGAGCACCAGCGCCAAAUCCCAUAGGUAAGAACAUAUCCUCGAUGAGGCACCUCGUCUUGCACGAGCGGGUGUUGCCCCUCGCCGGGUCGUACGCGAACCUAGCCGACAUGGAAGGCUCCAGCGACGAAAGGGCGGGUGGCUCCUUGUCGGGAAAGGUGAACCUGGAAUGAGUUGGCGAUUCGGGUGGUCGAGGGGUGGGGGGGGGGGGGGACCAGCCUGGAUUGGACUGACUAGCGGCGGCGGCAGCUGCACUCACGGCCUUGGCGGUGGUCAAGGCGGGGCUAAGAGUAGUGAUGGACUCAUUAGCGACGGCCAGGUCAUCAUGUCGGCGCGUGAAAAGUUCCUUCUGAAGCACAUCCUCUAGCCCAAGUGGUACAUUUGUUCAUUUGUGAUAUGUUCUGUUAGUGUUAUGUUCUCGUUGUCUCUUGCUCUGUUUCUCUUGCCCACAGGUACAUUUGUUCAUUUUCGUAGACCUGCUAUGUUCUAUUGUAAUUCGAGUUCAAAUGUCAAGUUGCGCCGCCACAAAAUGCUGCUACUUUAACUUCUGUAAGCGCAGCGAGCAGCGUAGGCGGCCGCUGCAGCUGCUCACAUGGAACGUAUGCCCUGUUGCAGCCUUGCAGGUACCCACAUCCCUCCCUCCUCUCGAUUUGAUCCCCAUAAACUCUCAGCUUUAUUUCUGUGGAUUUUUGUUUUAUCUAUGCCUGUUAUGUCUUUGACAAAAUCCAAGCAGAUUGAGGGCAAGAUUUUGUGCUUAGUUUUUUACUCAAGUAUUUCUUCUUUCUCUCAAAUUUAGCUCCAAUGAACUGAAUUUUUUUGGCAUCACUUUUUUUACCUGGAGAUCAUUAUCAUCUCAUCUCACCACACUCAUGCCACAUAACCUGGCGAGCUCACUCCUUACUUAUUCUAUGUACCACAUUUGUAGAUCAGUUUAAGGUACUGUUAAUGAACCAAAAGUUAAUGUUGUUGGCCUUGCCAAAAUGCCAUGAAGCUUAACAUUCGACACUUCCUUCAAAGGGGUCCUUCAGCCUCCAAGGAGAAGGGAAGUGAUGUCUGACAGGGAAAGAAACUAGGCGAAGCUCUGGAUGCUCGAUCGGGUACGCACCCAAUUAGCACUCUACUUCGUCGGUUGUCCACUGAAAUUUGCUCCAUGACAUCUUGCUUGCCAUGUGGUCUCCUUACCUCAAAAUUGACAUAUUAUAAUCUAUGAACUACUACAAGUAAACUAUACAACCAAAUGAUUGUUCCAAAAAUUCAAAUUUGCACCAUGCUUUCCACCUGAUCUGCCAGUUUAACUAUCUUAAUUGUACCGCAGACAUUUGAUGUGUGGUAGUACGUGUGUGAUGAAGCAUGGUGUAGUAGCAAACUAGCAACUGUUUCUGACAUACCAUGGAUUUCUUUCUGCCUCUAUUUGAUGCUCGGUGGUGCUGAUCCGAAGGUCCGUGCGGACCCUGCUCUGGACAUAUGUCUCCUUAAUUUCCGUGUGCAAUUGUGCAAUCCAUGCUUUACACUUUAAAAUGAGAAUAAAAUUUAGCUCAUGUUGCCCUUCCAUCAUGCACCCAGAAUAUAUUACCUUUCUGCUUUUUAUAUUUUGGUUGGGCAUGUUUCAUGAUCAGAGGAUCGAUGAUUUGUGAUGAUUUGUUAUGCUAGACAAUGGAAAUAAGAUUUGGUGGAAAACAAAUGAUAUGAUAGGUGAUUUAUGAUGUACUACUAUUUUAGAUAACAAUACUAAGCUUUUAUUUGGUUGUUCUGCAUUUUUCCCUUUGCGAAGAUAGAUAUUAUAAGAGAUAAACAUCAUGUACAGGUUAACUUUUUGUGUGCCUAUUAGUAUGCCUUGCUGCCAAGUGGAAAUAGUCUAUAUGAUGCUCAAAAAUAGAGCUUCCUGGUGGGAAGGAUGAGGCACACUCAUUGAUACUUUGGUUUUAUAUCCAUUUGUUAUGCAGUUUUUCUCUUCCAAGCAUAUAAACUUUAGCAAAUUAGAGUGUGCAAUCAAGUCUCCUAAGUGAACAUUUUUACCAUAUUAUCAAGUUUGAGGGCAUAUACGAUACGAGCAUAUAAGAUAAGAGCAUGUCAUGCUACCUGAAAAUCUGCCUGGAGAUCUAAUUCCGUAUUUUUUCUAUUUUGUCGUUUAGAAAACCAGUUUCCUGAGUUGUUAGUCUGAGUAUUCAAAUUGAUCCGCAGAGUUCAGGGCUUCUGGAUGGAAGAGUUUCCUACAACGUCAAAAUCUUAGUACUCUCUACAUAGACUUCAUAAUUAUGCCUGACUUUUUCUGAGGAAUUGUUGAAGUAUGCCUUUUCUUUGGGUUGUUUGUGCAUUUGCAGUGUUGGAGGUGUUAGUGCAAGAUUGUAGAGUUGGAAAGUAUAGUAAAACGUCAGUUGGUGCAGGGACUUGGUGAAGCCAUCAGCCUCAACUGUGUCUGCUUCCCCGAUGGUUUUGACUUCUGACUAGUGAUUCUGAUGCAUAUUACUUGAUGAUUUGGUCUUUGUGGCAACUUUCAGUUUGAACUGGCAUUCAGUGGCUUCAUCCUCUUUGGUGCAGCCUGGAGUUAGUAGUGUGCACAUCUGAAUCUCUUGACUUUUUCCUGAAGCAUAUUACGUGGUUUAUGGUGUCUGCUAACUUGCAUGCGAUUUUGAUGGAAUCUGAUCUUGUUUUUUGCUCCCAGUAUAUACAAAAGGCUAGAAGUAAAUGAUGGAAGAUCCUUUAGUCUCAACGAGGGUUCUACUUUUGUACUCAAAGUUUGUAUGGUAGAUAAUCAAAUUUUGUUCUUUAGCUUGCAAAAUUAUCAGCUUAUAGAGAAGUAAAUGUUGCAUUGAGCUCUUAUUAUCUCCACUAGCAGGCAGAAGAGUUUAAGCCUGUCAUUUAGCAAAUGUGUAGCUUAAUUUAUUGUUGCUUGUAUCUGCUACUAAUAGUUUAUUGUGUUUUGGUAAGUGAAAAUAAUAUAGUGAGCAGUAUGGAUCACUUAGUUAAUUACAUGACUUGGAGGCAUUCAGGAUGCAUGAAAAAGUUCAGCAGGGUGAGCACUGGUCUAAGAGAGUACACUAUCUAGCUAAAUUAUUUACAGAUGAAGAUAAAGUUGGUGGAGUUGCUUGUGGCCUGUCAGCACUCCGGAUGAUUUGCUAUUGGCCUUCAUGCUUGGAGUCGAGAGAAUAAUUCUUUUAAGCUCUGGUUGUUAUAUAUUCUUGGCAGACCUGAGUGUUUGGGUUUAUAUUGGAUUUUCGUGCAGAAAAGAUCCGCUGGCUUUGUAUGCUCUCAUGUACAGUGUGCUCAGAGGAUGGCAGAGUUGCAAUGAUAUCUUUGUUCGAUGUAUCAUCUGCCAUUGGUACAUAGGAUGAAGAAGGUGGGAUGGCCAGGCAGCGUGUUGAUCAUCAGGAGUAGCGGUAACUGGUCUUAAUUCUCUAAGUAUUCUGUUGCUCAUACAUGGAAAUGUAAAUUGCUUGGGAUGUACCUUGGCCAUGGCUGUGCAUCUGGACAGUUAGAACAACCAUAUGAUCCAUUUCCAUCUGUUCUCGUUUUCUCCCAGCAAACUUUACAACUCAUAUACCACCAGUUAUUUCAGUGACUUUGAUUCUCAGCUUAUAGUAUUUCUUCUACACAUGUAUUGAAAAUAUGUAUUCCGGCCGAAAGUAUAUGUAGUUGUAGAAAUGACGGUGGAUUAUUUUUAAAUACCAGUGUCAGUGGGAUCAACCAAAGCAUUGAUAGUGAUUUCUGUUGUUU